rnacentral:rRNA from 1 species
CGGCGAGUGAAGCGGUAACAGCUCAAAUUUGAAAUCUGGGUCUUUUAGGCUCCGAGUUGUAAUUUGUAGAAGAUGCUUUGGGUGCGGCCCCGGUCUAAGUUCCUUGGAACAGGACGUCAUAGAGGGUGAGAAUCCCGUAUGUGAUCGGUGGCUUGCGCCCGUGUAAAGCUCUUUCGACGAGUCGGGUUGUUUGGGAAUGCAGCUCUAAAUGGGUGGUAAAUUUCAUCUAAAGCUAAAUAUUGGCCAGAGACCGAUAGCGCACAAGUAGAGUGAUCGAAAGAUGAAAAGCACUUUGGAAAGAGAGUUAAACAGUACGUGAAAUUGUUGAAAGGGAAGCGCUUGCAACCAGACUUGCGCGGGGUUGAUCAUCCGGGGUUCUCCCCGGUGCACUCGGCCUCGCUCAGGCCAGCAUCGGUUUUGGUGGUUGGAUAAAGGCCUUGGGAAUGUGACUUCUUUCGGGGAGUGUUAUAGCCCUCGGUGCAAUGCAGCCUACCGGGACCGAGGACCGCGCUUCGGCUAGGAUGCUGGCGUAAUGGUUGUAAGCGACCCGUCUUGAAACACGGACCAAGGAGUCUAACAUCUAUGCGAGUGUUUGGGUGUCAAACCCAUACGCGUAAUGAAAGUGAACGGAGGUGAGAACCCUUAAGGGUGCAUCAUCGACCGAUCCUGAUGUCUUCGGAUGGAUUUGAGUAAGAGCAUAGCUGUUGGGACCCGAAAGAUGGUGAACUAUGCCUGAAUAGGGUGAAGCCAGAGGAAACUCUGGUGGAGGCUCGCAGCGGUUCUGACGUGCAAAUCGAUCGUCAAAUUUGGGCAUAGGGGCGAAAGACUA